GUGCGUUAGAUGGGGAGCUGUACAGUACGUGUGGCCUGUGUGUUAGAUUUGUACAACCCUAGUUUCACAGAAAAAUAUUUAUUUCCUAGAUAUCAUAUGCCAUGGCAUGCUUUUUGCUAUGAAACCGCAGCCAUCUAGUCACUCGCCAGAGAAGGAUGAGAAACUGCACCCCAGCGAGAGGGACAGCCCCACAUCUACAACCAAAUCCGUCGGUCACUGAAUUCAGUAAUCUCCGUCUCUUUGUGCAUUGUGUAUGUAUGGUACUCCCAAUUCUUAUAUUUAAUCCGGUGUGUCUCCCACAAUCUUUGUAUCUGUCUGCUGUAUGUAUGUGGCACGCAAGUCUGCAUGCACUGUGUCUGUUAUGCCAGUUACUCUAACCAGUUUAUUUCUUUUUGUGUGUGUCACAGCUCUGACAAGCAUGUUCUCCUAUGGGACACGAAGUACAUGAAGAGGAAUGAAGAAGCCCAUGUUUGAUGCUCGUUUCCAGGGUGGAGUAUUGAAUUUAUAACUAAUGAAGUGGCAUCUGACACAUGACAAGCUGCUCCUGUUUGCACAGCAACUUCAACAUUGUGUACUGUGAUCACGGCAUAGUUCAGAGGUAGGUAACCUUGGGCAGUCCAGAUGCUGUGAAUUACAUCUCCAUAAUGCUGGCAAACCAUCAUGGGAGGUGUAGUGCAAAACAUCUGGAAUACCAGGAUGGCACAUCAAUGUGAGCUGUGGCAAGAAGGUUUGCUGUGUCUGUCAGCGUAGUGUCCAGAGCAUGGAGGCGCUACCAGGAGACAGGCCAGUACAUUAGGAGAAGUGGAGGAGGCCGUAGGAGGGCAACAACCCAGCAGCAGGAAUGCUACCUCCGCCUUUGUGCAAGGAGGAACAGGAGGAGCACUGCCCUGCAAAAUGACCUCCAGCAGGCCACAAAUGUGCAUGUGUCUGCUCAAACGGUCAGAAACAGACUCCAUGAGGGUAAUAUGAGGGCCCGACGUCCACAGGGGGAAGUUGUGCUUACAGCCCAACACCAUGCAGGACGUUUGGCAUUUGCCAGAGAACACCAAGAUUGGCAAAUUCGCCACUCACUCCCUGUGCUCUUCACAGAUGAAAGCAGAUUCACACUGAGCACAUGUGACAGACGUGACAGAGUCUGGAGACGCCGUGGAGAACUUUCUGAUGCCUGCAACAUCCUCCAGCAUGACCGGUUUGGCAGUGGGUCAGUAAUGGUGUGGGUGGCAUUUCUUUGGGGGGCCGCACAACCCUCCAUGUGCUCGCCUGACUGCCAUUAGGUCCAGAGAUGAGAUCCUCAGACCCCUUGUGAGACCAUAUGCUGGUGCGGUUGGCCCUGGGUUCCUGCUAAUGCAAGACAAUGCUAGACCUCAUGUGGCUGGAGUGUGUCAGCAGUUCCUGCAAGACGAAGGCAUUGAUGCUAUGGACUGGCCUGCCCGUUCCCCAGACCUGAAUCCAAUUGAGCACAUCUGGGACAUAAUGUCUCGCUCCAUCCACCAACGUCACGUUGCACCACAGACUGUCUAGGAGUUGGUAGAUGCUUUAGUCCAGGACUGGGAGGAGAUACCUUAGGAGACCAUCCGCCACCUCAUCAGGAGCAAGCAUAGGUGUUGUAGGGAGGUCAUACAGGCACGAAGGAGGACACACACUACAACUGAGCCUCAUUUUGACUUGUUUUAAGGACAUUACAUCAAAGUUGGAUCAGCCUGUAGUGUGUUUUUCCACUUUAAUUUUGAGCGUGACUCCAAAUCCAGACCUCCAUGGGUUGAAAAAUUAGAUUUCCAUUUUUUAACUUUUGUGUGAUUUUGUUGUCAGCACAUUCAACUAUGUAAAGAACAAAGUAUUUCAGAAGAAUAUUUAAUUCAUUUAGAUCUAGGAUGUGUUAUUUUUGUGUUCCCUCCCAUACAUAUUGUUACGGUUGCCUCCAGGCUGGCUGGAAGUUGGACCGUAGAAAGGAUGCUCCUAGCGCUCACCGAAGGACCAUCAGCACCGUAAACACUAUAAGCACUGCAGACUCCACAAACCGCCGAUGCUGGGCUGGGAUCCCGCCGUCUGCUUUCCACCCUGGACAUACGACCAGGCUCCAGGUUCCAGUAGGUGAACCUCUUCCUUCUGUAGAGCGAAGCAGGAUCAGGAACAAGAGCUCUUACAAAAGCUCUUGCUAAGGGAGUAUGAAGAGCAUAGCAAUCCCUGUAGUGAUUAUAGCUGUCCCCUACAAACAUGAGUCGAGGCUGCAAGUUAGAGGGUCAAGUAGUUCUGUUUAAUUGGCACCAAAAGGCCUUCUUUUAUGGAGGUCUUACACAUACAAGACCGCCUACAGGGUUUUACAGAACAACUAAUAAACACGUAACAUACAGUAAAAACACACCCAUCAAUAACACACAAAUCCUCCCCUCUGCCUCUGAUAUAAUUACUGAACACAAUGGGUUAAAGUAAUUAUAACAGGCAGGAACAAUACACUUUUUAUACAUACACUGUAACUUUAAAAAUAUAUGUCCAAUCUUCAUAAAAAUUUAAUAUUCAGAAUCAGCAUACUUUAAAUAUAAACAUAACCAAAAUCACACAAAUCCCUCCAGUAGAUAAAAAGUUAGCCUAUGACCGACCACAAGCACAUUUUCCUGCCCAAAACAGUUCCAUAGAUUUGCGCUGUGCAGUCGGUCUAUUUUACACCGAAAAAUGACUUAGUCCCAUUCGAAUGCACGAACGGGGCCAUUUGUGCAUUUGGCUCAGUAUAACAGUGAGUUCAAACAGCCGAAUGGGACUUAGUCUCUGUGGCUGAAAACUCAGUGCAGGAGAAGGUAAGGGUCAGCGGUGUUCGUUGAUUUGUAGCCGAUUUCAGUUCCAUGGAUUUGGCUACACAUACCGCUGACCUUGUUCGAAUGAAUGAAGAUGGCCGCUGCCACGUGUUCGUUUGCACGAACUGCGGCCACCCAGCGGUCAACAAUUUACCUACAGCAGGCUCCCAGCCUGGGAGGUAAAUUGAUGGCACACUUCCACUCCUGGGUGGUCCGCCUGUGUGGUACUUGGUUCAGUAAGCCCCAUUUACUGAACCAAGUGGAAAAUAGCCAUGAACAAAGGAUUUUAACCAAGUCUGGGGACACAGGCUCAAAGGGGCAGUGUCCCAAACAAGUCUGUGGACACCGUCUUAAAGGGGCAUUGUCCUAAUUUUCCCUAUGUCCCAAAAAUGUGCUUAAAGGGCCAGCACCAGUCCCAUAAAAGUCCAUAAGCCCCAAUAUGCUCACAGAUUGUUCUUAAAGGGCCAUACACACCAGGGCCAUAGUCAUGAGGAAGGAGGCUGGCAAUAAGGCUUCUCCAUAAUACAGGGAAGCAGGGCAAUUUGUCACUUAAAGAGACAGUUACAAAAGACAUUUUGUAACACAUAUAUAUAUAUACAUACACACACACACACUGAACAAAAUUAUAAAUGCAACACUUUUGUUUUUUUCCUCCUAUUUAUUUAUUAGCUGAACUCAAAGAUCUAAGACUUUUUCUAUGUAGACAAAGGGCCUAUUUCUCUUAAAUAUUGUUCACAAAUCUAUCUAAAUCUGUGUUAGUGAGCACUUCUCCAUUGCUGAGAUAAUCCAUCCACCUCCCAGGUGUGGCAUAUCAAGAUGCUGAUUAGACCGCAUGGUUAUUGCACAGGUGUGCAUCAGGCUGGCCACAAUAAAAGGCCACUUUAAAAUGUGCAGUUUUAUUACACAGCACAAUGCCACAGAUGUUGCAAGUUUGAGGGAGCGUGCAAUUGGCAUGCUGACUGCAGGAAUGUCCACCAGAGCUGUUGCCCGUAAAUUAAAUGUUCAUUUCUCUACCAUAAGCUGUCUCCAAAGGCAUUUCAGAGAAUUUGGCAGUACAUCCAACUGGCCUCACAACCGCAGACCACAUUAACCACAACCACACUAGCCCAGGACCUCAACAUCCAGCAUCUUCACCUCCAAGAUCGUCUGAGACCAGCCACCCAGACAGCUGUUGCAACAAUUGGUUUGCAUAACCAAAGAAUUUCUGCACAAACUGUCAGAAACCAUCUCAUGGAAACUCAUCUGCAUGCUUGUCGUCCUCAUUGGGGUCUUGAACUGACUGCAGUUAGUCAUCGUAAACCGACUUGAGUGAGCAAAUGCUCACAUGUGAUGGCAUCUGGCAUGUUGUUGUCUUCACGGAUGAAUCCCAUUUUUUAAUGUACAGGACAGAUGCCAGACAGCGUGUAUGACGUUGUGUGGGUGAGCGAUUUGCUGAUGUCAACCUUUGUGGAUCAAGUGGCCCAUGGUGGCAUUGGGGUUAUGGUAUGGGCAGGCAUAUGUUAUGAACAACAAACACAGGUGCAUUUUAUUCAUGAACGGAAGAAAGGGAUCAGUGCUCUCUAUCUACACAAAUAAAUAACAGAAAAGAUUAAUUUUGGCAGCACACCUCAAAAUAGGGCUCCCUCACAGGCCCUACAGCAGAAAUGAUUCAAAGAAAAAAGGAAAGGUAGCGCCACUAAAAAAACUAAUAAGCAUUAACCAGG
rnacentral:lncRNA from 1 species